rnacentral:rRNA from 1 species
GACGAACGCUGGCGGCGUGCUUAACACAUGCAAGUCGAACGGAAAGGCCUGCUUUCCCUUGUGUAUUGCGGGUACUCGAGUGGCGAACGGGUGAGUAACACGUGAGUUAUCUGCCCCCAACUUUGGUAUAAGCCUGGGAAACUGGGUCUAAUUCCCGAUAGGACUGCAGGGUGGUGCCUGUGGUGGAAAACGAUUUUCUAGUGGUUGGGGAUGAGCUCGCGGCCUAUCAGCUUGUUGGUGGGGUAAUGGCCUACCAAGGCGGCGACGGGUAGCCGGCCUGGGAGGGUGGACGGCAACAUUGGGACUGAGAUACGGCCCAGACGCCUACGGGAGGCAGCAGUGGGGAAUAUUGCACAAUGGGCGGAAGCCUGAUGCAGCGAGGCCGCGUGGGGGAUGACGGGCUUCGGGUUGUAGACUCCUUUCGACCGAGAGGAAGCCACCUGGUUGGAAGGGUGGUGACGGUAGUGGGAGAAGAAGCACCGGCUAACUACGUG